rnacentral:pre_miRNA from 1 species
AAAGUACUUCCUCCGUCCCAAAAUUCUUGUCUUAGAUUUGUCUAGAUACGGAUGUAUCAAGUCACAUUUUAGUAUUAGAUACAUCUGUAUCUAGACAAAUUUAAGACAAGAAAUUUGGGAUAGAGGGAGUAGUUG